UCUGUUAAAAAAUAUAAGAAAAAAAAAAUGAAUGAAUAAAUUUAAGAAUGGGGAAUAGAGCAAUUGGAUAUGGGGGUUUUAAUAUAUGAAUGGUUAAAGCAUCUUGGUUGGUUGCUAAGAAAAUGUAAGAGAAGGAUGUAACUUAUGUUUUGAAUCUCAUGGUUUUGUUGAUAUGCUUAGUGUAUCUUUGGUACCAAUGUGAAAAUGUUUGGUCGUGUUUGUUGGAUGUGGCCUUCUGGGGGUUCACAUGGCACCGGUGCUUUACAGCCCAGCCAAGUGAUGCAAGUCUACAAAUGCAUUGCAAAGCCCCUCAUGCCCACCUACAACACGUAUAGACGUGGGGCUUUGCUCUGCUGCCAUUGGAGAAAGUCUUUGAUGUGCCUCUUCCUAACACCUUAAGGUUUUUGGAGCACUGGUUUAUUAAUUUAAAAGGGUUUGCUAGAAUCGAUAAGAAUUGCCAUUGAUGAUAAAGUGGGAGUUUAGACUUGGCAAACAAGCUCUUGCCGUGGAACUUGUUGAUAUUGAAGUAACAUUGUGUUGGAAGUUCAUUUCAAAUAACUAAACUGGCUCGGUUUGGCCUUUGAUUUCUCGUGUCCCAAAAUAUUCCAAUUUUGGGAUUAAAUUGGUGCUUGCUUUUACGCUAACAUGCUUCCACAGUUCCACUUCCUUGGAAUUUUAGAAGCACACUAACUGAGGAGGACUGCCCAAGCAAGUUAAUGAUAUCAAGACUGGUCCAUCAAAUUUUCGCGUGUAAAAUCUUAAUCCUUUGUACAAACUCAAAUUCCAUUGUUAUUAUUCCUCUUCUUCUUUCUUCUUGUUGAAUGAGAAGCAUUUGAUUUGAGCUCAUAUGAAGACACAAUUGAAGCCAAAAAAA